GUUUCAUGUAAUCAGAGAGAAUCGAGGUAAAAUUGAGGAAUAAAAAAAAUAAAUGAGUCAUAUCUAAUUUUUUUAACAAUGAUUUGUUUUAGGGUUUCUUAAACAUAACUGAACCCUAUGUUAUUUUGGACAUUUUUUUUAAUACGUCGCGUGUUUUAGUAGUGUGUAAUUUUGAAAACUAUAAGUUGAAUUUAAGAAAGUAUAAUGGUUCUAGGAUUUCUCUGUAACCCUUUCUCGUGCAACUGCAGAAAUUCGUAUUUAGUUUAAUAACCGAACUAGUUCCAGAGAUACACAUGCUUAUUGGCGGCACAAGUUUUAUGGGCAGCUUGGACAGAGCCGGUUUGAAGGUGGAUUUGAGUGAUCGUGUCGUACUGUAGUAUGGGUGAAGUGGUAAUUAUUAGAGAGCAGGCUGUACUGGGAGUUGCUGUGUAUUAUUUUAUUUGCUCAUAAAAAGCAAUUGACAGACUGAGUGGAGGUAAAACAGCAACACACACUAAAUAUUUCCAGUUGGAGUUACCAGUGAGGCACUGCAGGACAUCCAGUUACAAUAAGAGAUCGUGAGGUAUGAGUUCAAGCGUGUGCUACCGCUGCAAUCGGGCAGGACAUUUUGCUCGUGAUUGUCCAGAAGGUGGAUCCGGUGGUGGAGGAUAUGAGCGCCGUGGAUCCAGCAAUCAACAGAAAUGCUACAAAUGCAACCGGUUUGGCCAUUUUGCUCGUGAGUGCAAGGAGGAGCAGGACCGCUGCUACCGGUGCAAUGGUGUUGGCCACAUUGCCCGUGAUUGCCAGCAGAGUCCCAGUGAACCAUCUUGUUACAACUGCAAUAAAACUGGGCAUAUUGCACGUGAGUGCCCAGAUUCUGCUUCAUCUGGCCCCUCUUGUUACAACUGCAGUAAAACUGGGCAUAUUGCCCGUGACUGUCCUACUGGUGGCAGUAAGGCUUGUUAUAAGUGUGGGAAAACAGGUCAUGUAAGCCGUGACUGUGGCCAAGAUACAAACUAGAGCUACCUCUAAUUUUCAUUAUUCUGGAUUCUUUCUUUGCACUCAGAUUUACAGCAGUUGAAUUUUUCAGAGGUAAUAAUAAACGAUUUGUCAUAUGGUCCAGCCAUCGGCUUAGUAGGGUAGAAUUUGUCAAGACUGGCCCAUUUUGAAUGAAGCAUUUUAUGUUCUUGUAAUGGAGUAAGUGCCUUGGGGUGCAGUCAGUUUUCUCCAUUGCAAGUUAGUUUUGAUGUUCUAGAAAAUCUACAUAAUCAGGUGAACCAAGUUAAAGAUUUUAAAGCUAAAAGUUAAAGCCUAUUUGGUGCACUGAUGUCAUUUAUGUGAAAUAAGUAUAUUGUCAGUUGUCUGCAGCUAGGAAUGGCUGUUAAGAAGUCAGCACUCUUUCAUCAAAAUUUUACUUUUACUCCUAUUUCUACAUUAUAUAGACAAAAAGGCAGGCAAAAUGCUUUGAGUUAGUGGCAGAGGCUAGUUUUGUAUUUGGACGUUAACAAACCUGUCUGGUGAUGCCUUCUAAGGAGAGUGUGUGGCAAACAAUUGAAAAACAGAAAUUAUUGUCUAUUGCUUUUAUGUUCCAUGUUACUUGUGUGACAGUCUUAAAGCUUGUCUAAAUCAUUACUCAGUGAAUAGGAAAGAAAUAAUACAAAUUGUUUAAAUAUUAUUCUCUUGGAAGAGAGUUUUGUCUCCAUGUGAUGUUAAUAAAGAGCUUCACAGCAAAA